GACAUUUAGAUGUCCUUGUUACCCUUAAAAUGAGUUUUAUUGACAAUCAGAGAACAAAAAGAAGGCCCAGAUAAAGCCCAAUGUUUUAUAGGCUUGCUAACAACAUCUUAGUCCAGAGGGUGAGGAGAAAGCCUGAAGUUGCCCCCAUUUUCCCCUGCUUUGCUAUAUCACCAUGACAACAGAUAUAGAAAUCACUUAGUGACUCCUAGAAAGAAAACACAGUGACACAGUACCCCUUGUAUGGCGAAUCAAACUAAAGCCUUCAUUCAAAUGGCUAUUCAGCUUGGGCAUUCAUGUAGAGGAUAGGGUGGAUUUUACACAGGUAACUACAAGAGAAAGGCCAGCAAGCCCUCCAGCCACAGCAUAUGGCAAAGUCUCUGUCUAAUUAAUGCAUCCUCAAUAGAAUUUAUCCAUUUUAAAUUUGUUUUCUUUUACUUGAAACAUCAUUAAUGUAAAGGGCAACAUUAAUCAACAUCAUGGAACUUAAAAGGGCAUUAAAGAGUGAUCUUUUUCCCUAUGCAACAAGAAUCUUUUCAAGUAGUUGUGUUAACUGCAGCAGAUUCAAGGCACAUUCUGAGUUUGUAAUCAGAAGGCAAAUCUAGAGAGGCCUCUACUGGCGAAUCUGUCUCUGUGCAGUUGUCCUUGCGGAACUGCCCUGGAAAAACAAGCAGGAGAAUGACUUUCGGCUUUUUUUUAUUGGAAAGUUGCACACCAGAUGGAUGACCAAUGAAUAUACUGUAUAAAACAUUGAAUAAUGGCAUUCACACUUUUGAAGCUGUCAUAUCUAACUGCUUAUUCUCAGGUAAUAAAAGGACCCUCAAGCUCUGAUGUAUGAGCUGCUUGGACUCAAAGAGAUGUUUUAAGAUUAUUCAACAAAGAAAUAACAGUGCUUUCUCCAUGUACUGUGAAACACAUCCAUCUGGAUCCACCUAUUUAAGCUACAUGCCUAGCCUCCAGAGUCAUCCAGACUUUUAGCAUAAGAACUCAAAUGAGAAAUCAUGAAGAAUGCAUUAACUGAAUCCAAUAUCACCUACAGGACCCUGGGCCCAUUGCACUUUGUAAUUGUAUUACUUUUCUUCUGGUUAUCUUCAUAGGAUCUUAGGUAUACUCUCUCUGAAAAGUGUUAAAGACAACUUCUCCCUGGGCCUGAGAAUAAAUUAUCUUUUUCCUAUCGCUGUAUAUUUUUGUUUGUUUGUCUCGUUUUUUUGUUUUUUGUUUUUUCCUGGCUGGAUAGGGAAGUGAUCAAGCCACAAGUGAGGAGCUGCAGUGGCCCAUGAACAAUACAUAGGUCCAUCUCCUGGAACUUGUGACCACUCGCCCAGGAUCGCACUCAUGGCCACAACAAAGAUGAUGGCUUUUCUGUUUCUCCGGCUGCACCACAUCAGACACCUGUGGCAAAUAUUGAGGCAACACUAUGUGAAGUCUGACUAGUGACUCUUAGAGACUCCAACUAAUGGCUUCUCUGGGAGGGAUAAAAUAGGGCACAUGAAAUUAUCUUGUUGAGAAUACAUAGGUAUGUUUAUAGACUCACAUAUAUUUCAUUUAUAAAUAUAAAAUUAUUUUAGACUGAGUUACAAUUUUUAUGGUAAAAAUAAGUAGAAUAAUAGCAUUUAAAUAAUACUUUUAAACUUUUUCAUAUUCUUUCCUAAAUACCUUGAUUAACAUUUAUUUGGUAACAUUAUUUGUCCCAUUCUUUAAAAAGAAGGAAAAUAGGCUAUGAGAAAGUAAGUACAUUCAAGUUCCAAUUAUUCUUAAUAUGUUGUAUCAUAGUAUGUCAUUUGCAUCAAAGUCAGUUACACAGCAAACUAACCAACUGCACAAACAAAAAUAAUAAUAUGAAAGUAGAAAUUUACAUUUGAAACUCUUAACUACCAUCGGUACCAAAUAUACUUUUGGUUAUCUUGUCAAAUUAUAGGGAUGAGUGGCUGAGACCAUGCAGGUAUGUUCGGUAGGGUUGAAUGGAGUGUUAGAGUGUUGCUAUUGGCCUUGAAAUAGAUUGAUUUUUUUUUCUUUUUUUUGCCUUCUACCUGGGAUCAUGGUCUCUGCCUUACUUGCACAGGGUCCUCAUUAUCAAAGCAGAUUAUCUGGCUCAUAUUACACAAUAUGUUAAAUAGCUUACUUCUUUAAAUAUACACACUUUCACCAUAUUCAAAUGUGAAUACUCAGAGCUUAAAAACACUCAUGAGAUUUUAUUAAAAACAAUUUCAAUUAAAAAUAAAAUUGUGUUUUAACCUUUAUGUGUUUCCCAGGUCUUUUUUAAAAAAUAAGUAUUCUUAUUUAACAGUAUAUAAUACUAUUAACCAAUAAGUUUAAAGUAAGUAUCUGUUUAAGGAAAUUUCUUCAUAAGAAAAUAUACUAAAUUUUCAUAUGAUGCCUAGCUGCACUUUUUUUUUUUUUUUUUUUUAGUGCUGUGUUCAUUUCCUGUCACAAGAUGUUAACCUCAAAGAAACAUUUGGUAUCACUGAAAUGGCUUUAAACAUCACUUUUCAAGCCACAGAAAUUGUUUUUGUGAUAGUAUGCCUGUUGAAUACCAUUGCCAGAAUAUUUAAUCACACUUGUCAUGACAGAUGCAAACACAGGAAAAUAGUCUUGAUAUAAGAAAAAGAUUUCUAAAGAUUUCAAUAUCCACUCAAUAGGUUAGCUUUUAAAGCUUAUAUCUACAUCUAGAUAUAGAAUCCCUAUUCCCAAAUUUAAUCUAGACAUUCUUUAAAAUGAAACAUAAAGGAGUCUGUCUAAUUUCUCAUUUGGAAAGAAAAAUGUGAAAUAAAAGACAUGAAAAUUAUUUGUGAGUGGGAUGAUGAUUCCGGAUGGAGGCUUUUGUGCAUAAAUAGUUAUAACCAUUCAUAGACUCUAGAUUUGGAAGACAUUUGGAAAUCAUGUAGUGCAACUUCACAAACAGUGGGGAGACAGCCCUCUAAGUCAUCCCCCACCCCAGUGGGUUGCUCUUUCUGGCUCCUUCCAAUAAGGGGAAGCUCUCUCUCUCUCUCUUUUUUUUUUUUUGGAAUUAUGUUUCCUUGAACUGCUUCAGAUGGAUUUUUGGGUGAGCCAAAGUUUCCUUUCUCUGGCUUCCUAAGUCUCUCUUUACAGCUAUAUGGCUUCAAUACAAGGAAGGUGGAACAAAAAAAUUUUCAGAGCCAUCGGUCAUGCCACCAUUACGAAAAUCUAAUGUGAUGUUUCACCAACAGCACACAUUCAAUAGUUACAAAUGAAUAUUAAUACAUAAAGUUAAGAUUGUUCUGCAUCUAGGGCUUAUUUGUUUAAAGGUAAUUGUAAUAAUGUCAUUUUCCUCCUUCACCUUGCCUAAAGAGUCCUGUUAAUGGAAGGACAGGAUAACAAUCCCUAAGAAUGUCAAAUCCCUAUUCAAUCACUAUUCUGCUUCUUCUUCCCUUUGCUUCAAAAUCUAACCAUAUCUCCUUAUGCUCACCAACAGAUGGGGCCAAAUUAGGGUUUUUUUGGGAGGUGGUGGUGAGUGCAUACAUACGUUUGAAUCAUUCACAGUGGUGAAAGGGAGAAGGAAACUCAAAGCUUCAAGCUCAUUUUAUCCUUUAAAAUGACAUUGAGGCCACCAGAGUUGGCUGAGCCCUGUGCAGCCCCAGUCAGGACCUGCUGAAGGUAGCUGUGCUUCUGUUUUCUGUCGUUUAUAAAAAAUUAUCUUCUUGUCAAGAUAUCCUCAGGUCAUUAUUUAGUUUAAUGAACAUUUCAGAAUGCCUAGUAGAUGUUAGGCAUUUCAUCAAGUACUGGGAAUAAAAAGUGAAUGAGACAUAAACCUCAACCUGAAGUUGUUCACAACCCAUUGAAAAAGAAGAACAUAUAAACAAAUACUUUUGAUUUAAAAAAAAGACCUUAAAUAGAGAUUAGCACACGAGGUUAUCUACAGGAACAGCACAUGACUAUCACAGAUGGGGUUAAAUGAGGGGUUCACAGGGUAGUUGAUAAUUUAGUACAGCAACUUGAGUGUAGUCCAAGGACAUUAGGAGGAAACACAUCUGUAAAGGUCUGAUGGUAUUUAAGAAUAGAAUGCAUGCUGGAGGAAUAGCAAAUGAUCAGCAUGGCUGAAGCAACAUAGAGAAUGCUGAUAGAAAUUUGAUUAGGUUGAAAAGGUUUAUUUUAAGGUUAUUAACAUAAAGUAAUAGUUUCCAUUAGCAACAAGUUAUUUUAGUCAGACUAUAAAUAUACAUUUUUUAAAAAAUAGGUUGAGUUAAACAAAAGAGCUUGUUGAAUGUUUUUUCUAGGAGUAUACUUUGCCCAAG
rnacentral:lncRNA from 10 species